UUGAAUGUUAUUUUUUUUAUUUUUUAUAUAUUUUAGGUCCAGUGUCUGUGUACAUUUCCUAACUGUUUUAAUGGACACUAUUAAUCUGAUUCAUGUAGAAGGGGUUAAUUAAAUGUCUUACAUUUGGCUCUUGUUGGGCUGGUUUAUGCUACAUGAACGUAUACAAUCAUUAUGCAGAACAAUGGAACUGAGGCACAAUAAGUUUGUGUCUAAAGAUAAGAUUUUCUUUGAAAAGGUGGCAGUAAUCCAUAACUAUAAAACUACCUACCAUUAGCAAGCUACUUAAAGUAUGAACAUUUACAACAAUGUCAAACCUACCAAAUUACAAAAUUAGUUUGUUCCUUUUACGAAUUAAAACCCUUAUCAGUCAGAAAGAACCGCUCUAGCUGGUCACUUCUGUGAGUUAAACUCCCCUGAUUUGUUUCAACAUUUGAGUGGUCUGAUAAAAAUCCAGGUCGAUGUGGGACUCUUUACUGUGACUUCAUAUUUGUAGGAUUAUAAUAGGCUGCGAUAUGGCCAGCCAAGCCUUUAUCUCCGGUCACUGAAAGCUUGUUUGAUGGCUAAUGGGGUUGUUCCCUCUGCAUUAGCCAAGUCACAGGAAAGGUUCAAACAAGAGUAACACUACCCAAAGACUAUUUGAAAAAAAUACCGACACUCUGCUGUAGUGGUUAUGAUACUCAUUGUCCUUAAUGUUCCUGUGACAUUAUUCCAGAAAUACUAAAAUUUGUAACUAAACAUUUUUCAAAGGAUGUCUCUCAGGAUGGGCGUUUGACCUUUCUGAUGGUUUUAAUUGGGUUGUAGGCACCUCGAUAGCAAUAUAUAUAUUUUUUUUUUUAGUAUAGAUUCAUUGAUCUGAAGUACUAUUUUCAAGUAUCACAACAUCUUUUUGAACCAAGAGAUGCGCACACACUUGUAUACUACAUAAAUAAUCAUGAUUAAGAGGCAAGUACCACUGCACGAAUCAUCCAUUAUGAUCUGUGCCUAAUUUUAAUAAUAAAAAGUACCAAUAAAACGUCUAUGUGGUACAUGAAUGGGGCCUGUGACUUUUAAAUCCAGAUUGUGAAUUUAGCUUCACUAUCUAAAACUAAUUCACGAAUUUUCAGAUGUCCUGAAAGAACGACUAUGUAGGUAUGGGACAUAUCCACACCAGUGUUGUUGUAAGCAAUAACUUGGUUAUUUUAAAGCAGAUUGGGUCGUUCUUUAGCUGCAGACAAUGAGAAUGUAAUUUAGGGACAAUUAUUCAACUUAAGCUAUUUGUUGCUGUGUAGUUGGUGUUUUAAAUAUUACUGGUUUGCUGGCUGCAUCUUAGUCUAUAGUUCUGUGUACAAUUAUCAGAAAUUUUGUUUUAAAACAGGACUGGCAUUCAGUUUGCUUACAUCCAAAACUUCUAUCCAUUUCAUUGCAAAAAGGCAGAUAUGAUCCAUCGGAAAGGAUUUUCCAUUGCCAGAAGUUAAAGGGUUACUUCAACCACAGUGUUUUAAGUAAACAGCUUAUGGAUGGAGUAAGCUUUGCUGGAAUACCAUCUGAAGAGAAACUUACCUGCAAUCCCACUCUGUGGCCAAGUUCUCCUUGCAGCCUGUCCUCAUAUGGUGAUUUUAUUCCUUCCCUUUAUUAGACAGGCUGAGUGGAGGACUUCGGGAUCGUGCCAUCGUUGGUCAUCUGGCUGCAGCAUGCUAUGUGUGCACAAUGUUAACACAACAAGCCUAGAACACUUGUUCAGGGCUGGUUAAUGGUACGGCUGUAUAUGGACUUCCACCCCUAGCAGCAAUGUGCGAUAUCACUGCUUCAAACUUAAAAUUCUGCACAUACAGGCUCAAAGCAUCAUGACCACUUCAAACUACUGAAGUGGUCAUGGUGUUUGCAGUGACCUUAUAAUAAAUAAGUUGUAUGGUUUAAAUAGGCAUGUACCCUGAAUACAGCUUAUUUUAACUACCACUGUAUUGAAUUCUACAUCACUUAAUCAGCUGUCCAGUACUGAAUUCUGGUAGGCAUAUAAGAUAAGUACCAAUUACAUGGCAGAGCAUUUGAUUAAACUAUGGCAAGUAGCACAGACCUUCCAUAAUCAAAAUCCUUGAUUAUUUAAAACCAACUUUUACGUGGUAUACCCUAAAGCAGAGGUGCCCAAAAGGUAGAUCCCCAGAUGUUUUGUCAUUCUAAAGGCAUGCACAGUACGAUGGUAGUUAUAUUUCUACAACAUCAGAGGAUCUACCUUUUGGGCAACCCUGCCCUAAAGUCACUGUGAUACAUCACAUUUCCAUUGCAAUCUGCUACAUCUUAUGUUAGCCACAUAUUAAUUGGCAGAUUUAUAGAAAUAUAUCAUAUAGCUAAUGUCAAUGCUAGGCACUUGACCGUUUUUGUUCCCUUACCUGAAAUGGAAUAUAUAGACUCAAAUACAAAAUAUUCUGGCGAAUGUCAAAUGGACCAUAGAAUGUCCAUUUGGCUUUCAUAAAGGCAGCCACAUGGUUUGUGAUCACUAUAGGUGUUACUGCUGCACCCACUCUUUUUUUUUUUUUUUUACCUCUGUAUUUUAGAGGGAGAACACUGGAUUAUUAUUUUAGCUGCAGAUAGUACUCCAACGUAUUUGUAAUUGGUUUCAACUAGUAAUUCCUUUCUAUAAAAAAAUUGAUGGGAAGAGAGAUGAGUUGCAACAACUCUACAAGACUACCACAUCAAAGUAGCAAAUCAAACAUUAUUAAAGGGAUACAAGACAGCUUUAACUUAAUGAGGCAGUUUUGGUGUAUAGCUCCUGCCCCUGCAGUCUCAAAUGUAACAGCACAGUGUGUUACUUUAGAAGUGAUUUUAUCCAGUUCUGUUAACUAAAAUUUACUCACACAAAGCUUCUGAAGGUUAUUGCAGAUAAUUAACAAAACAUUUAAGACUAAUAUUAAACACCUUAUGACUUGCAGGAAGUUUAAAAAUUAGAUCUCUCUGCAGAAAGUCUAUAUGGAAACAGUGUGACUGCAGGGGCACGAUCUAUAAACCAAAACCACUUAUUUAAGGUAAAGUUGUUUUAGUGCUAAUAGUGUCCCUUUAGUCACUUUUUUAGCACUUUAUUGCCAUAUACAUUUCACCCUAGAUUGUAACCACUGCUGUAUAUGUAGAGACAUGGGGAAACAAUGUAAAAUUGAUAUGCAUUUUGUGCAAAGGUUUAGAUUACAAAUGUAUUCACUAAAUAGUUAACUGCACUUGUGUCAAAUUAAACAGAAUGUUUUCUAUACUGCUUUCAUUUUGGCUAAAAACAUUGUAGUUCAUGUUAAUUUACUGUUUAGUGAAUACAGUCCUCAGAUUAAUAAAUAAGAAUGGAACAGUAAGCAUUGUGUCUACUCUGCCUUUGACAAGAGCGGACCAUUGUGAAAAGCACUUUUUUGCAUAAAUAACCAAUGUCCAACUCUUUAAAAUGCCACCCUCCUUACUAAUGUUCUCUUCCAAUCUUACUGGGUUGUUGGGUGAUUUCAUUAGAAUCUUGUCAAACUGCUCCUUUUCCACUGUGUGAUAUCAGACUUGGGAUUAAAAACCAUGUUAACACAAACUAUAGUCAUUAAGACUGGUUUCAUGUGUUUUCUGUGGCCAAAUCAGUAAUGGCUUGAGGAUUUCACCAGGCUUCAUAAAAAUAACAUUUUCUUCCAUUUAAGUUGGACUGGGAAUGUGUACUCCAAUCAUUUCAAUACACAUUAGUAUAUGCUGGUCAUUUUUAAAUCUCAUUCACACAUAUCCUUUGCCCAACGGCCUGUGUGUAGUAGUGACUCUGUCCUAGUUAAUUUCCUUUUAAAUGGAUAGCUGACAGGGCUGUGGAUUGUUGGAUACAAAGUAAUGUUUAUCCAUGUUCUUGAAGAGGAAAAAUUGUGUAAUUGGGAGGGGGUAGAAGUCAUGUUUUUAUGAGUUUUGUAAAUCUCUACUCUUUUUACACCUUGGUUUUUGUAAGCUAAAGUUUCCUAUUAAAAGAUAAAACCAAA